rnacentral:rRNA from 1 species
UACGUAGGGGGCAAGCGUUGUCCGGAAUCAUUGGGCGUAAAGAGCGUGUAGGCGGCUCGAUAAGUCUGCUGUGAAAGUCCAGGGCUCAACCCUGGAAGGCCGGUGGAAACUGUCGGGCUAGAGUUCGGAAGAGGCGAGUGGAAUUCCCGGUGUAGCGGUGGAAUGCGCAGAUAUCAGGAGGAACACCGAUAGCGAAGGCAGCUCGCUGGGACGGUACUGACGCUGAGGCGCGAAAGCGUGGGGAGCGAACAGG